UACAGAGAUCUCGAGCGUUAAUCGGAGUCACUGGGCUUAAAGGGCGCGUAGGCGGUUCGCUAAGUCGGAUGUGAAAACUCUGGGCUCAACCCAGAGCCUGCAUCCGAAACUGGCGGGCUAGAGUUCUGGAGGGGGUAGCGGAAUUCCUGGUGUAGCGGUGAAAUGCGUAGAUAUCAGGAGGAACACCAAUGGCGAAGGCAGCACUCUGGGACGUGACUGACGCUGAGACGCGAAAGCGUGGGGAGCAAACAGG
rnacentral:rRNA from 1 species